rnacentral:rRNA from 1 species
CCUACGGGAGGCAGCAGUGGGGAAUUUUGGACAAUGGGCGCAAGCCUGAUCCAGCAAUGCCGCGUGAGUGAAGAAGGCCUUCGGGUUGUAAAGCUCUUUUGUCAGGGAAGAAACGGUGGGAGCUAAUAUCUCCCGCUAAUGACGGUACCUGAAGAAUAAGCACCGGCUAACUACGUGCCAGCAGCCGCGGUAAUACGUGGGGUGCAAGCGUUAAUCGGAAUUACUGGGCGUAAAGCGUGCGCAGGCGGUUUUGUAAGUCUGUCGUGAAAGCCCCGGGCUCAACCUGGGAAUUGCGAUGGAGACUGCAAGGCUUGAAUCUGGCAGAGGGGGGUAGAAUUCCACGUGUAGCAGUGAAAUGCGUAGAGAUGUGGAGGAACACCGAUGGCGAAGGCAGCCCCCUGGGUCAAGAUUGACGCUCAUGCACGAAAGCGUGGGGAGCAAACAGGAUUAGAUACCCUGGUAGUCCACGCCCUAAACGAUGUCUACUAGUUGUCGGGCUUUAAUUAACUUGGUAACGCAGCUAACGCGUGAAGUAGACCGCCUGGGGAGUCGGUCGCAAGNUUAAAACUCAAAGGAUUGACGG